rnacentral:tRNA from 1 species
GGGCCCAUAGCUCAGCGGUUAGAGCGGCCGGCUCAUAACCGGUUGGUCCCUGGUUCGAAUCCAGGUGGGCCCA